GACGAACGCUGGCGGCGUGCUUAACACAUGCAAGUCGAGCGGUAAGGCCCUUUCGGGGGUACACGAGCGGCGAACGGGUGAGUAACACGUGGGUGACCUGCCCUCAGCUCUGGGAUAAGCCUGGGAAACCGGGUCUAAUACUGGAUAUGACUCCAUGACGCAUGUUGUGGGGUGGAAAGCCUUGUGCGGCUGAGGAUGGGCCCGCGGCCUAUCAGCUUGUUGGUGGGGUGANGGCCUACCAAGGCGACGACGGGUAGCCGGCCUGAGAGGGCGACCGGCCACACUGGGACUGAGACACGGCCCAGACUCCUACGGGAGGCAGCAGUGGGGAAUCUUGCGCAAUGGGCGAAAGCCUGACGCAGCGACGCCGCGUGAGGGAUGACGGCCUCGGUC
rnacentral:rRNA from 1 species